UGAGAUGUUGGGUUAAGUCCGUAACGAGCGCAACCCUUGUCCUUAGUUACCAGCACGUUAUGGUGGGCACUCUAAGGAGACUGCCGGUGACAAACCGGAGGAAGGUGGGGAGUGACGUCAAGUCAUCAUGGCCCUUACGGCCUGGGCUACACACGUGCUACAAUGGUCGGUACAAAGGGUUGCCAAGCCGCGAGGUGGAGCUAAUCCCAUAAAACCGAUCGUAGUCCGGAUCGCAGUCUGCAACUCGACUGCGUGAAGUCGGAAUCGCUAGUAAUCGUGAAUCAGAAUGUCACGGUGAAUACGUUCCCGGGCCUU
rnacentral:rRNA from 1 species